GAGGUCGGGUUGUUUGCUCGGUGGUUGCGGUGCUGCUUUGGUGGUCUCUGGAGCACGGGCCUAAUGGAUAUCGGCCUUUUUCCUACAUAAACCCGUGCCAGUGUGAUAGGAGCCUGUGUAAUCCUCCAUCCGAAGUGCCUAGCGUUGCUCGAAGAACAACAGAAGCACGCCGUCUGCUCCCGCUGCUGCAGGAUGGACGUGGGCAGUCAGCGCGGCUGGUGAGCGGCGGUGGCCAUGCCUGGGCAGAAAUCUAUGAAGUGAGCCAUUGCUCAAGAUAAGGAAGUUUACAAAAUGAUUAUAAAGAUGGAAGUUGCUGCCUUGGAGGUAGAUUGGCUUUUCUUUUCCUGAUAGCGAUGCAGGAAGAGUUUAUGACCCUUUUGUCCCAGAAGCAAUCUUUCCUCAGCAAGAGACCUGGAUGGGGUCAAAGUACCUAUCUCAGCCUAGGAAGAAGGCAAUUUCUGUGGAACUGGCUAGCUGAGAUGUGCGGUGUCUGUGUGGAGUCGGAUCGCUGCAGCUGGGUCCGGGAUGUGGAAAAUGUGCUCUGCUUGCUGCUCUCUUGUCUCGUCCUGGCCUCCUAUAUUUCCUUUCCUCAAAGUGAAAGCAGUCUGCAAGGGCUGCUUGUCUCCUCGAGUCCCUCUUGUGAGGGAUAAUUAAAUUCAUGAAGUCACCUGAAUUAUAAAUCUGUAGAUAGUGAGCCAGUCUGCAUGCUAUGCCAAUCUUUGUGAUUUGAGUGCAGACUGCUGAUGGUUAGUCUUCACGUUUCAGUGUUUCUGAAGAUCGUAAGAUGUGGAAGAGAGCAUGCCCUGUGGCUGAGGUCUGUCUCUGUCAGAUUUUGUGGCUGGUGCCACUGAAUACACUGGAACUGGCACCUGAUAGCCAGUACAGACUGGCUGGCUCUGAUACACCAGUGUGAGGUUGUACUUACAGUUUUGGGCGGAAAUGUACAUGUUCUGACUCAGUCUGGAGUCAGGGCUUGUGCUGACAAGGGGAGUGAGGAUUAACUGGUGUUGGCAGGGAGCAUCAAUGAGAUGACAUCAGCUGGGAUGUACAGUGAUGCUCCACUGGCACAGCUUAUCUUGCUGUCCUAUGCAGGGAGGCUUCUGUUAACUAGUAGAGUGAUGGUAGCAUUAUAGCAGUAAAGAAACAUCUUAUAGACCUGAGUGAAUUAUACUAACGAGGCCUGUUGUGGUAUGAGUUGUCUGAACCUUGACCGUGCUGAAGGCUGGUAUAUGUGGCUAGCUGUGAAACCUGCUGCCCUCCUCCUCUGCGUUUGCAGGCAUGUGACACGAGCUAGCAAACUCAUCUGCUCGUACAAGAUAGGAGUUAGACAUCAGUUGCUUCCAGGCAAAGCUGUGUAAUGCCUGCAGAAUAAAAGUGAGUAAGUGUCUGAGAACCA
rnacentral:lncRNA from 1 species